GUAGUCCACGCCAUAAACGAUGAUAACUAGACGUGGGUAUUGGUUGACAAUGUCCGUGUCGCAGCUAACGCGUUAAGUUAUCCGCCUGGGGAGUACGGUCGCAAGACUAAAACUCAAAGGAAUUGACGGGGACCCGCACAAGCGGUGGAUUAUGUGGUUUAAUUCGAAGCAACGCGCAGAACCUUACCUAGGCUUGACAUCCAGAGAAAAGCUACAGAGAUGUAGCCUUAGGAUAUGGCAACAUAUCCUCUCUGAGACAGGUGCUGCAUGGCUGUCGUCAGCUCGUGUUGUGAAAUAUUGGGUUAAGUCCCGCAACGAGCGCAACCCCUAUCUUUAGUUGCCAGCAUUAAGUUGGGCACUCUAGAGAGACUGCCUGCGUUAAGCAGGA
rnacentral:rRNA from 1 species